rnacentral:rRNA from 1 species
CCCUCGGCUCAGGACGAACGCUGGCGGCAUGCCUAAUACAUGCAAGUCGAGCGGAGUUUUGUUGAAAGCUUGCUUUCAACAGGAUUUAGCGGCGGACGGGUGAGUAACACGUAGGCAACCUGCCCCAUAGUCUGGGAUAACUACCGGAAACGGUAGCUAAUACCGGAUAAUUCCUUUUCCCACCUGGGAAGAGGAUGAAAGACGGAGUAAUCUGUCGCUGAGGGAUGGGCCUGCGGCGCAUUAGCUAGUUGGUGGGGUAACGGCUCACCAAGGCGACGAUGCGUAGCCGACCUGAGAGGGUGAACGGCCACACUGGGACUGAGACACGGCCCAGACUCCUACGGGAGGCAGCAGUAGGGAAUCUUCCGCAAUGGGCGCAAGCCUGACGGAGCAAUGCCGCGUGAGUGAUGAAGGUUUUCGGAUCGUAAAGCUCUGUUGCCAGGGAAGAACGUCUUAUAGAGUAACUGCUAUAAGAGUGACGGUACCUGAGAAGAAAGCCCCGGCUAACUA